rnacentral:rRNA from 1 species
UACGGAGGAUGCGAGCGUUAUCCGGAUUUAUUGGGUUUAAAGGGUGCGUAGGCGGAUUUUUAAGUCAGCGGUAAAAUGUCUGGGCUCAACCCGGGCCGGCCGUUGAAACUGGGGAUCUUGAGUGGGCGAGAAGUAUGCGGAAUGCGUGGUGUAGCGGUGAAAUGCAUAGAUAUCACGCAGAACUCCGAUUGCGAAGGCAGCAUACCGGCGCCCGACUGACGCUGAGGCACGAAAGCGUGGGGAUCGAACAGG